CUUCAGGAUAUGCUCUGUAUUCCUUUGAAAAUCCUUAGUGGGACUGCUGUGAACUGUGGAAACUAUCAGAGGAAAUUUGGCAUCAGGACUGGAGAAUUAGGGGAAGUAUAAAGUUGAGUCAAAGGCUGAAAUGGAAAGAAAGCUAGAAGUUCUCUCAAACAACAAAUACUGAAGAUGCAUUUUUCUUUUUAUGGCCAAUUUUCCAUCUCAUGUGGUUUUUAAAAUAAUGUAACUGUACUAUAUAUCAGUGAAAAAGAAUAAAAUAUCACUGCAUACAUCAAGUUGGAUGCAUUUCAGAAAAUAAUAUUGAGUGAAAAAAUCAAGUUGCAGAAGAAUUCAGACAGUGAUUCCAUUUAUAUCAACUCAGAACAUUUGCGACUAAACCACCCGCUGUUUGAGAAUAUCAACAUAUGUGCCAAAGCAAGACUUUCAUGUUUAAAUAAAUAGAUAUUUCAUGAGAAACAUGAAACAGAACCUUGUGCUUUGGGAGUUCUUCAUAUAAAAACAAAACAGCAUCAACAACACAAGGU